AAGUAUCUACGGGGAAGCUCUACGCGAAAGCUUAGGUGGUUCAUCGUGGAGUCCGCUCCUCCUCUCCUUAACCUCGGAUUAGCUUGAUUAGUAGCUGAUUUAGGGUAAAAUGGGCUUUCAUAGUGGCAAAUAGAGCAAGCAGAACUUCGCAGACGAGCGGCAAGGGCCAGGUGAGAGGACGGUGGCUUUCAUGCGGCCAUGGAGGUAAGCUGCAGCAAGAAAGCUCAAUGGUGCUCGCUGUUAAGGUUAGGUAAGCAUGCUUUAGGCAGCGAGCGAGCAGCCACCGGAAAGUUUCCAUUGGCUCCGAGCUCAUUUUCGUUUUCCUCCAAAAGUGCAUGCUUCUUCCCCAUUCCUAUGGAAAGUUUCUAACUGAUUCCUCCAUUCCAAACGCAUAGUGCCAGCAAAACAAAGGAUUGUCAUUCCUUUGAAACUCCUUUGAAAAUCCUCCAUUCCAAACAGGGCCUACUCUCUUCUAUAGGUUUGUAUUUUCUAGAUGUACGCUUUGCUGUCUUUACUACGUCGACAUAGAAGAUACAAAUCUAGCUAGGCCAUUGGCCAUUGCAGGCUACCGGCCACUUGCCUCGCAGCUUGUUAAAGGAGGCCUUCUAGAUCCCAGUGGAGUAGCAGGAUUACUCGAGGGUCCUAUUUGCAAAGGAGACUUUGCUUGAUUUCCUGAUGACUGUAGAUCACAAAGAUAUAUCUGAUGAGUUGGGUUUUUGGUUUUUAUGUGCUACCUCCGCUCUCGGAGCGUUGUCUGAUCC
rnacentral:lncRNA from 1 species